GUUAUCUAAAUUAAACACGUGUCUUUUCCUAUCCGUCUAUUUAUUGUAAAUGAUGACCCUCCCCUCAUUCACAUCAGUAUCAUAGUCUAUGUAGCUAUACAUCAGGAGACAGUCUAAAAUACUCUAUCAGAAAAGUGAAACAUGACGGAGGAAAAUACAGGGAAUUUGGAAGCCAAUGACUGUACUAUGUGUGACAGGUGUGGACAGAAAUAUCCUGGUGACUAUCCACGCAACAGUGAUUCAAGCAAAAUUCAGCGGGCGAUCCAAAAAGACAAGGCCAGUAAAAUCCUAACUGUUUUAGGGUUGCUGGCUUUAAUGGAAGGAUUUCUCUGUCUCGUGGCUGCCUACCUCGAUCAAACUUGGGGCGUGUUGCCCACCGAUCCAUUGUCCAUUCUUGGUGUGGCGUCCAUUUUAGCCGGAUGUCUCCUCACCGUUGGAUCUUUCCUCGCUAGUUCAAGAUCAGUUAAUGAGAAAGAGGACAUGAAAGAAAAUUCAGAGAUUUGUACAGACAAUAAGAAAGACAGAUAAACUUGAGUCGAUACAUCGAGGAGAUUAAAAAAUCCUUAGUCAACUUCGUUUAUAACGAAUUUCUAGGGAAUGUGAAAAACACUUCGAACGUUAUAUCCAGAUUCGUUAUUCCUGAUUGCAAGGCUUUAGAUAAAAGAAAAAGAAAAAAAGAGAACACAACAAUACAGAAAAUAUAUCGUGCAUUUAAUUCCAAGCAUUCAUUGUAUUCAAUCAAAAAAGUAAUCUGUUACAAAUACAGGUAAAGUUAUCCGAGUUCAAAAAAUCAGAGAUCGUCGUUUAGCUUUUCGUUUCAUUUUUUUUUUUAAACCUGAACGAAAUUAAAUCUACCGAGACAAACAUUAGGCUUAUCAUCAGUGCUACCUCAUCAGAACGUGGUUCGUUCUCGUCGUGGGGGCAUUUGCAAGUAACCCCGCUUUGAAAACUGCUAUUAAAUGUCGGAUUGACAAGGGAUAAUUUAUCUCAUUAAUGUUUUCGUUAUUAGUAAAUGAAUUUGAAAUCAGAUUCAUUGAUAAUGCCACUGCCAACUUCUUAACGUAGAUGAUUUAGUCUUUGUUUUUAGAAUCAAUCAAAGUGUGUUAAGAUUUUCGAACAGCUUAAGUGAGUACGUCAACAAAAGGAAAUUAGUAGUGAUUACGAAGAAUACCAAAUAGUAGUUUUCAGAAAUGGUGGCCGUAUUAAAGAUAACGAAUGUUAGAAAUAUAAUGACAAACCAUAGCGAUAGUAGAUCAAUUCUAGUAUUCAGGAGUCUAGUUAGAAUGACCAUCUAGAUUUUAAUUACCUUAUUGUAGAUUGCCUUGUCGGAAACGUACGAGACACCGCGCUGUCGAUUGAGUCAACAGUGCAGUCUUAUUGGUUUCCGACGAUGCUGGGAGCCCCAUUGAGAUUUAAUGAUACAUGUGCAUGUUUAUUAACUGAUAUGCUUAAACAGACAUCCAAAAGUAUUAAACGAACUAUUAGACAUAAUCAAAACACCACUGUGUGAAUACUUCAAAAUGGAGAGUUUCCGAACAGUUGGAAGGAAGGGCAAAUAACGGCAAUCCACAAGAAGGGAGACAAGAAAACACUGGGGAGCUAUAUACAAGUUGUGAUGGGUACUUCUUCAUAUGAGGAUAUCCAUACGCCGACCACGUGCAUUUGUUUACAAACAUCCCUUGAUUUGAUAUGCGAUUAUUUGAAGUGGUGAGAAAAAUAAUCAUUCCUUACCUAGGGAGUGUGACAAAGAAAUCUCAACCCUCGGGGAAACUCAUGAAUGUCCAACCCUCGGCAAUCCUCAGGUUGGAUGUUCAUGAAUUCCCCCUCGAGUUGAGAUUUCUUUGUCACACCUCCAUGACAGGGGAAAAUUCUAUUAAUCCACUGUCGGAAAAUAUUUGAUCUUGAUAUAUAGGCAUUUCCGUGCGUCCAUUAUUAUUUUUAUUAUUAUUAAACAUGUAGCCAGACAAGGUCGUAAAGCUGUAACCAUUUAAAAUGAACAUUAAUACAAUGGUACAUCUUUUAGACGCAUAUGUUGGUAUCAUUUUACACUACGCUUGUGAUACAUGAGGGAGUUUUAAUUAAAUGCAGUUAUAGAAACAAGAGGCCCAUGGGCCUAAACGGUCACCUGACAAACACUUACAGCAGGGACACACCCCUCAAUCCGUAGGGCUCAACCAGUAUCAUUACCAUAACUUGUCUGGUCGCAGCCAGUUGUUUUAGAUCAAAUUUGGUUUUUAUCCAUUUUGGCUUAAAGGAGUUGCACCUUAAAGCAAACUUUCAGCCAAGUUACUGUUUUGGGGCCUCACCUCUCUGUCCCAGGGGUCAGACCAGCCUCAGUUAUAUAAAUAAUGAUUGCCCAUCCCCAAUGAUACUUCGUACUAAAUAUGGUUGUAAUCAAUUAAGGUAUUUACACAAUAUAUACGUAGUAGAAGCGUUUUAAAGCAAUAUUUGAACACCAAAUUUGGUUGUUAUCCACUAAAAGGUUAAUGAAGAUUAGGGUUUUAAAACAACAAUGUUACUCUGAAAAUGUACCUAUACAGGUAUCUUGCAGACAAGGUUACCCUGUAAAUGUACCUAUACAGGUAUCUUGUAGACAAUGUUACUCUGUAAAUGUACCUAUACAGGUAUCUUGUAGAUACUGUUACUCUGUAAAUGUACCUAUACAGGUAUCUUGUAGACAUUGUUACUCUGUAAAUGUACCUAUACAGGUAUCUUGUAGACAUUGUUACUCUGUAAAUGUACCUAUACAGGUAUCUUGUAGACAAUGUUACUCGGUAAAUGUACCUAUA